rnacentral:rRNA from 1 species
GGGUUGUGAGGUUAAGCGACUAAGCGUACACGGUGGAUGCCCUGGCAGUCAGAGGCGAUGAAGGACGUGCUAAUCUGCGAAAAGCGUCGGUAAGGUGAUAUGAACCGUUAUAACCGGCGAUGUCCGAAUGGGGAAACCCAGUGUGAUUCGUCACACUAUCGUUAACUGAAUACAUAGGUUAACGAGGCGAACCGGGGAACUGAAACAUCUAAGUACCCCGAGGAAAAGAAAUCAACCGAGAUUCCCCAGUAGCGGCGAGCGAACGGGGAGCAGCCCAGAGUCUGAAUCAGCUUGUGUGUUAGUGGAACGGUCUGGAAAGUCCGACGGUACAGGGUGAUAGUCCCGUACACCAAAAUGCACAGGCUGUGAACUCGAAGAGUAGGGCGGGACACGUGGUAUCCUGUCUGAAUAUGGGGGGACCAUCCUCCAAGGCUAAAUACUCCUGACUGACCGAUAGUGAACCAGUACCGUGAGGGAAAGGCGAAAAGAACCCCGGCGAGGGGAGUGAAAAGAACCUGAAACCGUGUACGUACAAGCAGUGGGAGCACCUUCGGGUGUGACUGCGUACCUUUUGUAUAAUGGGUCAGCGACUUAUAUUCUGUAGCAAGGUUAACCGUAUAGGGGAGCCGCAGGGAAACCGAGUCUUAACUGGGCGUUAAGUUGCAGGGUAUAGACCCGAAACCCGGUGAUCUAGCCAUGGGCAGGUUGAAGGUUGGGUAACACUAACUGGAGGACCGAACCGACUAAUGUUGAAAAAUUAGCGGAUGACUUGUGGCUGGGGUGAAAGGCCAAUCAAACCGGGAGAUAGCUGGUUCUCCCGAAAGCUAUUUAGGUAGCGCCUCGUGAAUUCAUCUUCGGGGUAGAGCACUGUUUCGGCUAGGGGUCAUCCCGACUUACCAACCCGAUGCAAACUACGAAUACCGAAGAAUGUUAUCACGGGAGACACACGGCGGGUGCUAACGUCCGUCGUGAAGAGGGAAACAACCCAGACCGCCAGCUAAGGUCCCAAAGUCAUGGUUAAGUGGGAAACGAUGUGGGAAGGCACAGACAGCCGGAUGUUGGCUUAGAAGCAGCCAUCAUUUAAAGAAAGCGUAAUAGCUCACUGGUCGAGUCGGCCUGCGCGGAAGAUGUAACGGGCUAAACCAUGCACCGAAGCUGCGGCAGCGACACUAUGUGUUGUUGGGUAGGGGAGCGUUCUGUAAGCCUGCGAAGGUGUGCUGUGAGGCAUGCUGGAGGUAUCAGAAGUGCGAAUGCUGACAUAAGUAACGAUAAAGCGGGUGAAAAGCCCGCUCGCCGGAAGACCAAGGGUUCCUGUCCAACGUUAAUCGGGGCAGGGUGAGUCGACCCCUAAGGCGAGGCCGAAAGGCGUAGUCGAUGGGAAACAGGUUAAUAUUCCUGUACUUGGUGUUACUGCGAAGGGGACGGAGAAGGCUAUGUUAGCCGGGCGACGGUUGUCCCGGUUUAAGCAUGUAGGCUGGUUGUCCAGGCAAAUCCGGAUAAUCAAGGCUGAGGUGUGAUGACGAGGCACUACGGUGCUGAAGUAACAAAUGCCCUGCUUCCGUGAAAAGCCUCUAAGCAUCAGGUAACAUCAAAUCGUACCCCAAACCGACACAGGUGGUCAGGUAGAGAAUACCAAGGCGCUUGAGAGAACUCGGGUGAAGGAACUAGGCAAAAUGGUGCCGUAACUUCGGGAGAAGGCACGCUGGUGUGUAGGUGAAGUCCCUGCGGAUGGAGCUGAGACCAGUCGAAGAUACCAGCUGGCUGCAACUGUUUAUUAAAACACAGCACUGUGCAAACACGAAAGUGGACGUAUACGGUGUGACGCCUGCCCGGUGCCGGAAGGUUAAUUGAUGGGGUUAUCCGUAAGGAGAAGCUCUUGAUCGAAGCCCGGUAAACGGCGGCCGUAACUAUAACGGUCCUAAGGUAGCGAAAUUCCUUGUCGGGUAAGUUCCGACCUGCACGAAUGGCGUAAUGAUGGCGGGCUGUCUCCACCCGAGACUCAGUGAAAUUGAACUCGCUGUGAAGAUGCAGUGUACCCGCGGCAAGACGGAAAGACCCCGUGAACCUUUACUAUAGCUUGACACUGAACAUUGAGCCUUGAUGUGUAGGAUAGGUGGGAGGCUUUGAAGCGUGGACGCCAGUCUGCGUGGAGCCAACCUUGAAAUACCACCCUUUAAUGUUUGAUGUUCUAACGUUGGCCCCUUACCGGGGUUGCGGACAGUGUCUGGUGGGUAGUUUGACUGGGGCGGUCUCCUCCCAAAGCGUAACGGAGGAGCACGAAGGUUAGCUAAUCUGGUCGGACAUCAGGAGGUUAGUGCAAUGGCAUAAGCUAGCUUGACUGCGAGCGUGACGGCGCGAGCAGGUGCGAAAGCAGGUCAUAGUGAUCCGGUGGUUCUGAAUGGAAGGGCCAUCGCUCAACGGAUAAAAGGUACCGGGGAUAACAGGCUGAUACCGCCCAAGAGUUCAUAUCGACGGCGGUGUUUGGCACCUCGAUGUCGGCUCAUCACAUCCUGGGGCUGAAGUAGGUCCCAAGGGUAUGGCUGUUCGCCAUUUAAAGUGGUACGCGAGCUGGGUUUAGAACGUCGUGAGACAGUUCGGUCCCUAUCUGCCGUGGGCGCUGGAGAAUUGAGGGGGGCUGCUCCUAGUACGAGAGGACCGGAGUGGACGCAUCACUGGUGUUCGGGUUGUCAUGCCAAUGGCACUGCCCGGUAGCUAAAUGCGGAAGAGAUAAGUGCUGAAAGCAUCUAAGCACGAAACUUGCCCCGAGAUGAGUUCUCCCUGAGACUUUAAGUCUCCUGAAGGAACGUUGAAGACGACGACGUUGAUAGGCCGGGUGUGUAAGCGCAGCGAUGCGUUGAGCUAACCGGUACUAAUGAACCGUGAGGCUUAACCUUACAACGCCGAAG